UUCAGGGGCAGCAACCUAACAACGGGUUGUCCGAUUCAUCUGAAAAUUUCAGGGCAGAUAGAUCUUGACCUGAUAAACAAUUUUACCCCAUGUCAGAUUUGCUCUAAAUGCUUUGGUUUUUGAGUUAUAAGCUAAAACUGCAUUUUACCCCUAUGUUCUAUUUUUAGCCAUGGCGGCCAUGUUUUUUGAUGAAAUGGGAAUUAAAACACAAACUUUAUUCUAGAUACCCUAGGAAUCAAUCAGAUGAAGUUUGGUUUGAAUUGGUUCAGUAGUUUCAGAGGAGAAGAUCUUUGAAAUAGUUUACGACGACGACGACGGACGGACGACGACGACGGACGGACGGACGACAACGGACGCCAAGUGAUGGCAAAAGCUCACAUUUCCUUUUGGAAAGGUGAGCUAAAAAG
rnacentral:lncRNA from 1 species